GAUGAACGCUGGCGGCGUGCCUAAUACAUGCAAGUCGAGCGAACGGACGAGAAGCUUGCUUUUCUGAUGUUAGCGGCGGACGGGUGAGUAACACGUGGAUAACCUACCUAUAAGACUGGGAUAACUUCGGGAAACCGGAGCUAAUACCGGAUAAUAUUUUGAACCGCAUGGUUCAAAAGUGAAAGACGGUCUUGCUGUCACUUAUAGAUGGAUCCGCGCUGCAUUAGCUAGUUGGUAAGGUAACAGCUUACCAAGGCAACGAUGCAUAGCCGACCUGAGAGGGGGGUCGGCCACACUGGAGCUGAGACACGGUCCAGACUCCUACGGGAGGCAGCAGUAGGGAAUCUUCCGCAAUGGGCGAAAGCCUGACGGAGCAACGCCGCGUGAGUGAUGAAGGUCUUCGGAUCGUAAAACUCUGUUAUUAGGGAAGAACAUAUGUGUAAGUAACUGUGCACAUCUUGACGGUACCUAAUCAGAAAGCCACGGCUAACUACGUG
rnacentral:rRNA from 1 species